AUACGUAAGGGGCGAGCGUUGUUCGGAUUCACUGGGCGUAAAGGGUGCCUAGGCGGCAUGUUAAGUCGGAAGUGAAAUCCCCCGGUCCAACUGGGGAACUGCUUUCGAAACUGGCGUGCUUGAGUUCGGGAGAGGAGAGCGGAAUUCUCGGUGUAGCGGUGGAAUGCGUAGAUAUCGAGAAGAACACUCGUGGCGAAGGCGGCUCUCUGGAACGAUACUGACGCUGAAGCACGAAAGCCAGGGGAGCAAACGGGAUUAGAUACCCCGGUAGUCCUGGCCCUAAACGAUGUACACUUGGUGUAGGAGGUAUCGACCCCUCCUGUGCCGAAGCUAACGCAUUAAGUGUACCGCCUGGGGAGUACAGUCGCAAGGCUGAA
rnacentral:rRNA from 1 species